rnacentral:miRNA from 1 species
CGGGUGCUGCUGUCUGCUGUC